AGUAAUUGUUCAAGAGCAAGGCUCACCAAGCUCAUUUGAGGACUGGAGGAGCAGCAGCCUGUUAUCCCUCCACUGUCAAGAGCCGGAGGUGGUCGCUGCUCUGUGAAACCAGCCUCACGCGGUACCCUCCUGUCUAGAAACCAGGAAACCAACGCCUUCGCAAAGAUCCCAUGGCUCAGCUCCUGACUUGGAGUGGGCAGGCCAGCAAGUUGCAGCCUCCAGACUAGCUUAGCAAGCCAUAGCCUUGUUCAAUCACCUCAAUGCCCCCACUCAGGUCACAAGCUGACGUUACCCAGCUCGGCGAACUGACAUGUUUGUCAGAAGAUUUAUAAAGACUAGUUUGUCUAAUAUUCUUAACAACAUGGGACUUCCAAAUGGCAAUAUCAAGUUCGUAGAGUCUUGAGUUGGAAACUGAGGCUUUUUCUUUCCCGUCUAUUUUCUCCAUGGUUCCAUGGAGUAGGCUUGGCCAAGAUCCAGUCCCAGUAUAUUUGGAUUGCAUUUUCUUACUAGAUGAAUCUGCAACUCAGUUGGGGGAUGUUGUCCAAGACGCUAAGAGCUGAUUAGAGGAGAUGGAACUGAAACUUUGGGAGAAAUCACAACAGUUAAAAUCAGAAAUGAGUUGAAGGACAAAUUCCAGCCUUACCCCCAAACCUCAAACAAAAUGUUUCGCAUGAAAGUUGAACCGAUCAUGGUUGGGAUCCCUCACUGGCACCAUCAUUUGAAACAUGAAGCUUUCACUUUCUAAUAUUCCCAUCAGAUAUGAGGAUAGUGACAGGUAAUAGAAAAUUUUGGAAUGUUUUGUGAUGGAAAUUAGAUCUCUCAGCCUUUUAUACCCUUUUAUUGCCUGGUAUUUUCCUUUGUAGCAAUCAGGGCGAUCGUUUGCAGCUGGAGUUAUGCUGGAUAAACU